UACAGAGGGUGCAAGCGUUAAUCGGAAUUACUGGGCGUAAAGCGUGCGCAGACGGUCUCGUAAGUCGGGUGUGAAAUCCCCGGGCUCAACCUGGGAAUUGCAUUCGAAACUGCGAGGCUAGGGUACGGAAGAGGGAAGCGGAAUUUCUGGUGUAGCGGUGAAAUGCGUAGAUAUCAGAAGGAACAUCAGUGACGAAAGCGGCUUCCUGGUCCAGUACCGACGUUCAGGCACGAAAGCGUGGGGAGCAAACAGG
rnacentral:rRNA from 1 species